GACCUCGGAUCAGGUAGAAUGCCC
rnacentral:rRNA from 1 species